rnacentral:rRNA from 1 species
UUGCGGGGUGAGUGGCGCACGGGUGCGUAACGCGUGGGAACCUGCCCUUUGGUUUGGAAUAACGGUUGGAAACGACUGCUAAUACCAAAUAAUGUCUUCGGACCAAAGAUUUAUCGCCAUUGGAUGGGCCCGCGUUGGAUUAGCUAGUUGGUGGGGUAAAGGCCUACCAAGGCGACGAUCCAUAGCUGGUCUUAGUAGGAUGAUCAGCCACACUGGGACUGAGACACGGCCCAGACUCCUACGGGAGGCAGCAGUGGGGAAUAUUGGACAAUGGGCGAAAGCCUGAUCCAGCAAUGCCGCGUGAGUGAUGAAGGCCUUAGGGUUGUAAAGCUCUUUUACCAGGGUUGAUAAUGACAGUACCUGGAGAAUAAGCUCCGGCUAACUCCGUGCCAGCAGCCGCGGUAAUACGGAGGGAGCUAGCGUUGUUCGGAAAUACUGGGCGUAAAGCGCACGUAGGCGGCGUCGUAAGUUAGGGGUGAAAUCCCGGGGCUCAACCCCGG